rfam:Ntaya virus isolate IPDIA, complete genome
GAUAGUCAGGCCAGGCAAUGCCUGCCACCGGAAGUUGGAUGACGGUGCUGUCUGCGCUCCAACCCCAGGCGGACUGGGU